rnacentral:misc_RNA from 1 species
UGCAACAUGCAUCCAAAAACAUCUCGAUUGUACUUCAACACAAAUUCUUGAGACGGCUCUAGCACCUCUACGUCGAAUGCAGGGCCCAGAGGUCGCCCUACAACUCUCACAUGACUUAUACAUAUGUAAAACAAGUCGUCCAUUUCUUGUCUCUGAACUCUGCCCAAAAGUUGAAUCUGCAUAUAUCCACCAACGCAAAGCACAGGUUCUGGCAGGUUGAACCGCUGAAAGCAUUUUUCCUGCGUCAUAGGGAAUUCUUCAGAAGUAUAAGUCCAUAUAAACUUGUCAUCAGCA